rnacentral:rRNA from 1 species
CCUACGGGUGGCUGCAGUGGGGAAUAUUGCACAAUGGGGGCAACCCUGAUGCAGCGACGCCGCGUGAGUGAGGAAGUCUUUCGGUAUGUAAAGCUCUAUCAGCAGGGAAGAAAAUGACGGUACCUGACUCAGAAGUCCCGGCUAACUACGUGCCAGCAGCCGCGGUCAUACGGCGGGGGCACGCGUUAUCCGGAUUUACUGGGUGUAAAGGGAGCGUAGUCGGGAUAGCAAGUCGGGUGUGAAAACCGGGGGCUCAACUCCGGGAGUGCAUUGGAAACUGGUGAUCUAGAGUGUCAGAGAGGCAGGCGGAAUUCGUAGUGUAGCGGUGAAAUGCGUAGAUAUUAGGAAGAACACCGAUGGCGAAGGCAGCUUGCUGGACGAUGACUGACGUUGAGGCUCGAAAGCGUGGGGAUCAAACAGGAUUAGAUACCCUUGUAGUC